UACGUAGGGUGCGAGCGUUAAUCGGAAUUACUGGGCGUAAAGCGUGCGCAGGCGGUUCGCCAAGUCAGGUGUGAAAUCCCCGGGCUUAACCUGGGAAUUGCGCUUGAAACUAGCGGGCUUGAGUAUGGGAGAGGGAUGUAGAAUUCCAGGUGUAGCGGUAAAAUGCGUAGAUAUCUGGAGGAAUACCGGUGGCGAAGGCGGCAUCCUGGACCAUUACUGACGCUGAGGCGCGAAAGCUAGGGGAGCAAACAGG
rnacentral:rRNA from 1 species